GACGGAAGGUGCAAGCGUUGCUCGGAAUCACUGGGCGUAAAGGGUGCGUAGGCGGCUUGGUAAGUUGGGUGUGAAAGCCCCGGGCUCAGCCCGGGAAGGGCACUCGAAACUGCCGAGCUGGAGUGCCGGAGGGGAGAGUGGGAAUUCCUGGUGUAGCGGUGGAAAUGCGUAGAGAUGUGGAGGAACACCGAUGGCGAAGGCAGCCUCCUGGGCCAACACUGACGCUCAUGCACGAAAGCGUGGGGAGCAAACAGG
rnacentral:rRNA from 1 species